rnacentral:SRP_RNA from 12 species
CGGUGGAGGUCCAGGACGAAAGCGUGAGUUUCAGUGCGGUUCGGCGUCAAUUUGUGGCGGCAGUAGAACCUGCUGCCGGUGAUGAAGGAGGAGAAGACGGGGGAGGAAACGCAGCAGCAACAGACACUG